GCAAAGGCUAUGAAGAGAGAUAGUAGUUAUUAUGAAGAUUUCAGAGAGAAGACGUAUGGUGCAAGUCUUUAUCGAAGUAAUAGUGAACCAGUCUCAGAGCUUUGAACCGAAAACAAUUUAUUUGCAAGUAGGCUUCAACGGAGGUCCACCGUUAAAAGGAAGAUAAUGAGUGCAGUUUACUGAAUUUAGGUGGUAACACGGAUAUGAUUAUUCGCCCUAAGC
rnacentral:ncRNA from 1 species